rnacentral:rRNA from 1 species
AGAGUUUGAUCCUGGCUCAGAACGAACGCUGGCGGCGUGCUUAACACAUGCAAGUCGAACGCGAACGAGUUCUUCGGAACUUUAGUAGAGUGGCGCACGGGUGAGUAACGCGUAAGUAAUCUACCCUCGCAUUUGGGAUAACCCACCGAAAGGUGUGCUAAUACCGGAUACGUCUAUUUUAAUAUCUUUUUUAUAGAGAAAGGUGGCCUCUGAUUCAAGCUACUGUGCGGGGAGGAGCUUGCGUACCAUUAGCUAGUUGGUAGGGUAAUGGCCUACCAAGGCAACGAUGGUUAGCGGGUCUGAGAGGAUGAUCCGCCACACUGGAACUGAAACACGGACCAGACUCCUACGGGAGGCAGCAGUGAGGAAUAUUGCGCAAUGGGGGCAACCCUGACGCAGCGACGCCGCGUGGAUGAUGAAGGCCUUCGGGUUGUAAAAUCCUGUCAGAUGGGAAGAAGUGUAAUAUGGUUAAUAUCUGUAUUAUUUGACGGUACCAUCAAAGGAAGCACCGGCUGACUCCGUGCCAGCAGCCGCGGUAAUACGGAGGGUGCAAGCGUUGUUCGGAAUUACUGGGCGUAAAGCGCGCGUAGGCGGUUGUAUAAGUCAGAUGUGAAAGUCCAUGGCUCAACCAUGGAAGUGCAUUUGAAACUGUAUAACUUGAGUACUGGAGGGGGUGGUGGAAUUCCCGGUGUAGAGGUGAAAUUCGUAGAUAUCGGGAGGAAUACCGGCGGCGAAGGCGACCACCUGGCCAGAUACUGACGCUGAGGUGCGAAAGCGUGGGGAGCAAACAGGAUUAGAUACCCUGGUAGUCCACGCCGUAAACGAUGUGAACUAGGUGUUGGGAUGGUUAAUCGUCUCAUUGCCGGAGCUAACGCAUUAAGUUCACCGCCUGGGGAGUAC